rnacentral:rRNA from 1 species
GUCCUACGGGGCGCAGCAGUGAGGAAUAUUGGUCAAUGGGCGAGAGCCUGAACCAGCCAAGUCGCGUGAGGGAAGACGGUCCUAUGGAUUGUAAACCUCUUUUGCCGGGGAGCAAAAAGCGGUACGUGUACCGCAUCGAGAGUACCCGGAGAAAAAGCAUCGGCUAACUCCGUGCCAGCAGCCGCGGUAAUACGUAGGGGGCAAGCGUUAUCCGGAUUUACUGGGUGUAAAGGGAGCGUAGGUGGCAUGGUAAGCCAGAAGUGAAAACCCAGGGCUCAACUCUGUGGAUUGCUUUUGUAACUAUC